GACGGACGCUGGCGGCGUGCUUAACACAUGCAAGUCGAACGGAAAGGCCCCAGCUUGCUGGGGUACUCGAGUGGCGAACGGGUGAGUAACACGUGGGUGAUCUGCCCUGCACUCUGGGAUAAGCCUGGGAAACUGGGUCUAAUACCGGAUAGGACCGUGCUUUAGUGUGUGCGGUGGAAAGUUUUUCGGUGCAGGAUGAGCCCGCGGCCUAUCAGCUUGUUGGUGGGGUAAUGGCCUACCAAGGCGGCGACGGGUAGCCGGCCUGAGAGGGUGUACGGCCACAUUGGGACUGAGACACGGCCCAGACUCCUACGGGAGGCAGCAGUGGGGAAUAUUGCACAAUGGGCGCAAGCCUGAUGCAGCGACGCCGUGUGGGGGAUGACGGCCUUCGGGUUGUAAACCCCUUUCGGCAGGGACGAAGCUUUUGUGACGGUACCUGCAUAAGAAGCACCGGCUAACUACGUG
rnacentral:rRNA from 1 species